rnacentral:rRNA from 1 species
AUACGGAGGGGGCUAGCGUUGUUCGGAUUUACUGGGCGUAAAGGGCGCGUAGGCGGCCCACAAAGUCAGACGUGAAAGCCCCGGGCUCAACCCGGGAACUGCGCUUAAUACUGGUAGACUUGAGUCCGGGAGAGGGUGGCGGAAUUCCCAGUGUAGAGGUGAAAUUCGUAGAUAUUGGGAAGAACACCAGUGGCGAAGGCGGCCACCUGGCCCGGUACUGACGCUGAGGUGCGAAAGCGUGGGGAGCAAACAGGAUUAGAUACCCCAGUAGUCC